UAAAACGCGAGACGCGAGCGCCGAGCGGGUCGAGCGGGUUGGUAAAAAAAUCCCAAACCAAAAUUAAAAAUAAAGUGUUUAAAGCAGGUUAAAGUCAUUCAGUUGAGAACUAUGACACCUGGGUGGCUGGGUCAUUGAUAUCUCACCUUUUCAAACACAAUAAAAUGUGUACAGUACGGUCUACCGUUAUAAGGAUUUUGCGGUACUUUGACCUUUUUUGUUAGUGACCUUGGUCUGGUCAUCAUAGAUUCAGGGUCAGUGUACAAUCGAAUGCUUGAGCUGUAGUAGUUCAGACUUCAGAACCUACACAAAAUGGCAUGUGAAUGUAAGCACAAAAUAUCUUUCUAUCUUGUUGUUAUUGUCUUGACUAUUUGCACGGAAAGUGUUUUCACUAUGUUGGAUACUUCAAUGUCUUGUUCAGAUGGUGACUGUCCGCCGAAUAAAGAAUGUUUUGUACCGUCAUGCUACGGAUCUUCUUGUCGGAGCGUACAACCUGUUUGCUUGACAGUUUUAAACGCCUCUGACUUUACCUGGGACGCUGAUGGAACUGAUUCUGACGAUAAAAUUCUAAAAGUUGAAUUUAAUAUAGUCAAUCCGGAAGAACUACGAUUACUGUAAUUCAUCACUCAAAAGUAAAAUCAUGUUUAGCUAUACAAAUACAAUAAAUGGUCAUACAAGGGUAA